UACGGGGGGGGCAAGCGUUGUUCGGAAUUACUGGGCGUAAAGGGCUCGUAGGCGGCCAACUAAGUCGGAUGUGAAAUCCCCAGGCUCAACUUGGGAACUGCAUCCGAUACUGGAUGGCUUGAAUCCGGGAGAGGGAUGCAGAAUUCCAGGUGUAGCGGUGAAAUGCGUAGAUAUCCGGAGGAACACCAGUGGCGAAGGCGGCUUUCUGGACCGACACUGACGCUGAGGCGCGAAAGCUAGGGGAGCAAACGGG
rnacentral:rRNA from 1 species